UACGUAGGGGGCUAGCGUUGUCCGGAUUUAUUGGGCGUAAAGAGCGUGUAGGCGGCCACGCAGGUCCGUUGUGAAAACUGGAGGCUCAACUUCCAGCCGUCGACGGAAACCGUGUGGCUAGAGUCCGGAAGAGGAGAGUGGAAUUCCUGGUGUAGCGGUGAAAUGCGCAGAUAUCAGGAAGAACACCAAUGGCGAAGGCAGCUCUCUGGGACGGUACUGACGCUGAGACGCGAAAGCGUGGGGAGCGAACAGG
rnacentral:rRNA from 1 species